UCUCCGGUCAGAGGGUCUCUGACCCCGGUGGGCAGGGCCCCUCAGGGCCUUCCCCCCUUAUCCUCCGUUUGUGGAGCCCUCCUGAGGGUGCAGUUUGUCAUCAACUGCUUAAGGAGGCUGAUUUCUGCCAGCACCACUGACCAACAUCCAUCUCUGGUCAGAGGGUCUCUGACCCUGGUGGGCAGCGCCCCUCAGGACCUUUACCCCCUUAACCCGUGCGGUCUGCGGAGUCCUUCUGAGGGUGCAGUUUUAUCAUCCUCUAUUUAAGGUGAGUGGACACUUGGCCUUUCUUUCUCCUGUUUUCUCACCAGCCCGGUCCAUGACACCUGCAGUGUUCUCCCAGUGUGACUAUUGCAGAUAGGAAGAGAAAGAGUUUGCAGGCCUAGGUGGGGUCUAAGAUAAGGCUUGGAAGGAAGUCUUGUAUCUACCUCCAGGUCUCAGAGAGCAGGAUGCCCCUGCCGGGUAGAACUGAAGGGAAGCGUCCGGCGGGACCCAUGGCAGCAGAUGAGAAUGCAGGGAGCGGCUGAGCCAGAGCUCUUUACUGGCCUUCCUGAAGGCGCAGCAAGCCAGAGCAGAGCUGGUGGUUCAGAAACGGCAAAUCAGGAGAAUUGCCCCGGGCUGUGGUUGGGGAGGCUGCUAGAUGGUGGCACGAUACCCUGGAUGGCUCAGAGAGAGGAAAUAGGAGGGAAAUGCCUGUGUGAGAGAGGUAGGUGCGGAAGGUGCUGGAGUACACACUCAGGAGAGGUGCAUCUGUGUGGGGAAAACAUGCCUGUGGAGGGAUUUCUUGUGCUUGGAGGAAAUGGCUCUGUGCGGGGAGGCGGUGUCUCCCAUGCCAGUGGGAACUCUGAGAUUCCAAAAGUGGGAAGCACCGCACCCCCCAGCACCUUUCCCUUGUUUCCUCCGUCAUCUCCUUCAAGGAUAUCGCUGAUUUCUUAGCCAAGUUUUAUAGAUGGCUUGAGAGCUCGCUGAAGGCGGGUGCUGUGUAGCAGAAGCACCGCUGCCAUCUCCCUGAUGGGCAGAGGCAGCCUGGGUGGAGGAGCGGGAAAGUGCUAAAGGACACAGUAGUUACAGGUGACUGAAGGCUGGUGGGGUCAUCUUUACAGGUCGGAGUAACAUCCCUUGGACCAGCCACAUUUCCUGCCUGAAGGCAGGAGAACCAACUUUUUCUUGUUGACUUUCUACUUCUCAUCUACUGAGGAAUUUUUGUAGACACCACCACUGAUCCAUAUCACCUAGGGAUCAGAAGAACUCUGAGCCUCCUGGGCGAGGCCCCUUGUGGCCUUCACCUGGGAUUGUUUUACGUGUGCAGCUUUUUCACCAACUG